AUGGCUCUAAGCUUUCCUGACCUCAUAGCUGUGUUGCUGUGGGGCCCAUCAGUGAAGCUGCCAGAUGCAAAGGAGACCUGCCUAGAUAAUCCCCGGACAAAACAGACUCAGGAAAUGAAGAGAGGCUGCCCGGAGGUGGUGACAACUUGGAGACUCUUGGAGUUACAAGACAGAGGAGAGAGACAUCAUUCCAGGUGUGGGUGGAAAAGGUGAGGAAACUAGAAAGAAAUGACACAUAAGGGAAAACAGCAUCAGAUUUGCAUUACUGCGAAAAUCACGGGGUGAAGACGC
rnacentral:lncRNA from 1 species